rnacentral:rRNA from 1 species
AAAUUCUUAACGGCCGCGGCACUAAAACCGUGCAAAGGUAGCACAAUCACUUGUCCCUUAAAUGAGGACCCGUAUGAAAGGCAACAUGAGAGAAGACCUGUCUCCUAAGGCCAGCCAAUGAAAUUGAACUGCCAGUACAAAAGCUGGUAUUUACAAGCAAGACAAAAAGACCCUGUGGAACUUUAACAAAUUAUUUAUGUACAUAAAUUAUAGUUUCAGCCGGGACAACUUUAGAGAAAAUUAACCUCUUAAUAAUACACAGACCAACAAGUCUAACCCACCCGACCCAGUCACACUGAUUNACGAAACAAGCUACCCUAGGGAUAACAGCGCCACCUUCUCAAAGAGUCCAUAUCAACAAGAAGAUCUA